rnacentral:rRNA from 1 species
UGGGGAAUAUUGGACAAUGGGGGGAACCCUGAUCCAGCCAUGCCGCGUGUGUGAAGAAGGCCUUAUGGUUGUAAAGCACUUUAAGCGAGGAGGAGGGUACUGGUAUUAAUACUACCAGGUACUGGACGUUACUCGCAGAAUAAGCACCGGCUAACUCUGUGCCAGCAGCCGCGGUAAUACAGAGGGUGCGAGCGUUAAUCGGAUUUACUGGGCGUAAAGCGCGCGUAGGUGGUUCGUUAAGUUGAAUGUGAAAGCCCCGGGCUCAACCUGGGAACUGCAUCCAACACUGGCGAGCUAGCGUAGGGCAGAGGGUGGUGGAAUUUCCUGUGUAGCGGUGCACUGCGUUGAUAUAGGACGGAACACCAGUGGCGAAGGCGACCACCUGGGCUCAUACUGACACUGAGGUGCGAAAGCGUGGGGAGCAAACAGG